UACGUAGGGUGCAAGCGUUAAUCGGAAUUACUGGGCGUAAAGCGUGCGCAGGCGGUUUUGUAAGUUUGUCGUGAAAGCCCCGGGCUCGAACCUGGGAAUUGCGAUGAAGACUGCAAGGCUUGAAUCUGGCAGAGGGGGGUAGAAUUCGACGUGUAGCAGUGAAAUGCGUAGAGAUGUGGAGGAACACGAUGCGAAGGCAGCCCCCUGGGUCAAGAUUGACGCUCAUGCACGAAAGCGUGGGGAGCAAACAGG
rnacentral:rRNA from 1 species